GUGCUUGCUUCGGCAGCACACAUACUAAAAUUUGGUUCGAUACAGAGAAGGUUAGCAUGGUCCCCGCGCAGGGUUGACGCACAACUCGUGAAAUUACUACUACCACU